GUCUGGAGGGAGAGGCGCGGGCGGGAACCGGGGCUGCUCGCAGUGCCUGCGGGCCAGCGCGAGUUCCGGGUGGGCGUGGGCUCGGCGGACCCAGCACUCGGAGCGGCCGACCGGCCCUACCGGCGCCGGGCAGUGAGGGGCUUAGCACCUGGGCCAGCAGCCGCUGUGCUCAAUUUCUCGCCGGGCCUUAGCUGCCUUCCCACGGGGCAGGGCUGGGGACCUGCAGCCCGCCAUGCCUGAGCCUCCCCUCGACCCGCCUUGGGCUCCUGUGCGGCCGGAGCCCAUGUGAAGAGCACUCAUAUGAUGACCGGAGACACAGCUGUUGGAGGAAAAAAGUUUAUGUCAAUUAAAAUCCUGAGUUUCUCUGAUCUGGAAAGAAAAACUGCUAUGAACUUUUUAGUUUCAGAUAAUGAAUACAUGAGUAAACAGGAACCCUGAC
rnacentral:lncRNA from 1 species